GAGCAUUAAACCUGAACCAGAAGAUCGAGAGCCUAACUUUGCAACCAUUGGUCUGCAGGACAUCACUUUAGAUGAUGUGAACGAGAUAAUUGGGAGAGACAUGUCCCAGAUUUCUGUUUCCCAAGGAGCAGGGGUGAGCAGGCAGGCUCCCCUCCCGAGUCCUGAGUCCCUGGAUUUAGGAAGAUCUGAUGGGCUCUAACAGUGCUUACUGCAGCCUUGUGUCCACCACCAACUUCUCAGCAUGUUUCUCUCCUUGGACCUUGGGUUUCCAACUCUGCAGCCUUCAGGUCUGGGGCCAGGAGUGGGACCCACCAUUUGUGGGGAAAGUAGCAUUCCUCCACCUCAGGCCUUGGGUAGAUUUGGCAAAAGAACAGGAGCAGCAUAGGCUGUUUGAGCUUUGGGGAAAUGAACUUUGCUUUUUAUAUUUAACUAGGAUACUUUUAUAUGAUGGGUGCUUUGAGUGUGAAUGCAGCAGGCUCUCUUGUUUCCGAGGUGCUGCUUUUGCAGGUGACCUGGUUACUUAGCUAGGAUUGGUGAUUUGUACUGCUUUAUGGUCAUUUGAAGGGCCCUUUAGUUUUUAUGAUAAUUUUUAAAAUAGGAACUUUUGAUAAGACCUUCUAGAAGCAAAAA
rnacentral:lncRNA from 1 species